rnacentral:tRNA from 1 species
CAGGUGUAGCUCAGUCUGCGCGGAGCGCCGGCCUUGGAAGCCGGAGGCCGCUGGUUCGAAUCCAGCCGCCCUGA